GCCGUGUAGAUGCGGAGGCCUUACUGCGUUCUGUUCCUGAUCCUGUGAUCCUUUUAGAUAGAAUGCCUCAAAUUGACCUUCUGGUAGCAGAAUAUCCUUAAGCGAUUUGUCAUUCGGAUCAUAGGCGAUUCCAUUUGUGACCAAAGAAAUUAAAAGGGAAAUACACUGGAAUUGUAAAAAUAAUUCUAGGUUAUGGUACAUGAUACAAUUGAUUGAUAUAACCUCGAUAAUAAUUUCCAAAAUUAGGAAAAAAGAGUCUUAAUAUUACGAAAAUCAGUUCUUGACUUUGAAGAUCGAAUUUAUUAUGGCCUUGUUAUAUCAUGUUAAUAGCAUUUUUCAAUCUUAUAUUUUCAAAAUUGAAAAUGAUUCUGAUAAAAGAAAACGUAAGUAUUUAAAUUUUAAUUAUAAAUACAUACCAUAAAGAUGAAAGAAUUUACUGCCAUACUUCGAUCCGUAUUCAAAAUUGAUCGAAGCUCUGUAAUUAUGAAAAGUAUUAUAAAUGUGCGUAAAAUAAAAGAUA